rnacentral:rRNA from 1 species
CCAAAAAUGGUAAUCCUUUAGAGACAACUAUUGAGGUGUAAUCUUCACAAAAUGUACCCCACCAUGGAUUGUCAACAAGAACCAGAUGAUAAAUUUUGAUAUCUAAGUAAUUAGGAUUAUGGCUCCAUUUAUAUCAGAGACAAACAAAGUGCCAGCAGUCGCGGUCAUACUUUACACUUAAGUGAAGAUAUAUAGGGUUCUAUAUGUACUCAACUAAACUAAUGGUGAAAUAUAAGUUACACCCUUUAGCUUAAUACAUUAUAAAACAUGAAAGCUGGUUACAAACAGGGAUUAGAUACCCCUUUAUGCAGCGACCAAAUUUUAACCCUAGGCAUUAAAACUAAACGGUUGAAACCUAAUCAACAUGGCGGUAGUUAAAAUAUUCAGGGGAACUUACUGAGUAAAUGAUACCCAACAAGAAAAAGUACCAUAUUUUAAAUUUUACAUACCGUCGUCGGCAGAUCUGCUAAAAUAGUAGAUCAAACAAUAGAAAUAAAAGGACAGAUCAAGGUGUAGACAAUAAUAAGGUUCUAGCGAGUUACUAUAACUUUUCGUUUCACGAAACAACUAUAAGGUUGCUAUCUGUAGGACUUGAAAGUAAUGUAUAUUAAGUAUAUUACAUGAAUAUCACUUUAACUGUGU